rnacentral:rRNA from 1 species
GACAGAGGUGCCAAGCGUUAGGCGGAAUCACUGGGCUUAAAGCGUGUGUAGGCGGAUUGGUAAGUACCUUGUGAAAUCCCACGGCUCAACCGUGGAACUGCUUGGUAUACUGCUUAUCUUGGGCCACUUAGGGGCUACCGGAACAAACGGUGGAGCGGUGAAAUGCGUAGAUAUCGAGAGGAACACCGGUGGCGAAGGCGGCGAUCUGGACGAUGACUGACGCUGAGACGCGAAAGCGUGGGGAGCAAACAGG